rnacentral:rRNA from 1 species
CAGUCGCCGCGGGAAUACGUAGGGGGCAAGCGUUGUCCGGAAUCAUUGGGCGUAAAGAGCGUGUAGGCGGUUCGGUAAGUCCGCUGUGAAAGUCCAGGGCUCAACCCUGGAAUGCCGGUGGAAACUGUCGAACUAGAGUCCGGAAGAGGCGAGUGGAAUUCCUGGUGUAGCGGUGAAAUGCGCAGAUAUCAGGAGGAACACCAAUGGCGAAGGCAGCUCGCUGGGACGGUACUGACGCUGAGACGCGAAAGCGUGGGGAGCAAACAGGAUUAGAUACCCCCGUAGUCCCUGUCUCUUAUAC